rnacentral:misc_RNA from 1 species
UUAGGCUUGCUACAAGGGCUACAAGGG